rnacentral:piRNA from 2 species
UGGUACAUGGCUUGAAAUGAAGCAAGCUGU